GAGGGGGGGGUGCGUCGCGCGUCGUUGUCACGCGCUGCGCUCUGCUCCUGCCGCUCCCUCUCUCCCUGUGAUCCUGACACGCGCAGCUGCGUCGCGCGCGGGGGAAUCUCGAGGGCCAAAGGAUCGUCCGUGCACUGCCCGAAGCCCACGCGCCAGCCUCGCUCGUGGAGCCCGGGCUCUGUUGGUUUGAAAAGGGAACAUUACAAACAAUCCAAGAGUGAAGUCUUAUAAGAAAAAUUAGCUGUUCAAAAAGCCAUGCCCCACUUCUUGGAUUGGUUCGUGCCAGUGUAUCUGAUGAUCUCCAUUCUCAUCUUGGUGGGCUUCGGAGCUUGCAUAUACUACUUUGAACCAGGCCUGCAGGAGGCCCACAAGUGGCGGACGCAAAGGCCGAUCAUGGAACGAGAUCUUCGGAAAACACUGAUGAUACGGGAUAACCUAGCCUUUGGGGUGCCUGAGGUCUAGUAUUCUGCAUGUGGAGAGUUUCUAGAAAAAAAGCCAAAGUGUGGUCUUUUCUGGGUGGGCUUACAAGGAUAGGUCUGAAUGCACAUUUCACUCUCUGCUGACACAGAUCUCUGUUAAUCAUCAGAGUUACCUCUUUUUUUCUUCUCCAAGGCAAGAUUUGUGCACCUCUAUUAACUCAAGGCUUUCAGGUCUCCCUAAGCAAGAUGGUCAUUACUCGGUAAAGGAUUCCUGCACCACUCCAUGACCUGGAUUUUUGGAUCCAUCAAAGGUAAAAGUCUCUGUUAUUCAUUAUCCAGAGGAGGAUACAUGCACCUAUUCGUUACCUUUUAAAAAAUUCUUAAGGGUACCAGAGGAUCACACAUAGACUUGAUAUGGGACAUGAAUCCUUUUACUGAUAGUUCACUGGUUUAAAUCUAGCCCAGUUUGCUAGGGUAUGAAAUGGGUUGUUAUUGGAUGCCUCUUUGACGACUUAUGUAAGGUGACUUUGGUGGGGCUCAGCACAGUUCUUCGUGGUCAACUGUGCACAUCACAGAAAUCACCAAUGCCCCCGAAUUGGCAUCAGUGUUUUGAAUCUCAUUAGAAAGGCUAAGGAUUGAAUGAGCCAUGGAGAGUGAAUUCCCAACUCUCCCUUAGAGGUGAUCUUCCCAGCUCAGGAGUGAAACACACAGGAGGGGCAAAAUGAGUGAAGAUUGCAUUACUGAUGCCCAUGUUAUACCUGUUUGGGAGAUAGAGGACUUCAGUCUCUAGGGCUGUCAAUCUGCACUUUCAUGAGCACUACAUUCAUACAAAAUGUUCUUCUGAAGAGGUCUGUGUGGAUCUCUUGCACCUCUCCUUGACCCAGGACUCUGGAUUUAUUGCAUAGGUCUCAAGAGAUCCACUACUAGACAUUGGAUCUUCUGCAUCUGAUCAUGACCCAGGGAUCAAGGGUCCUUUAUUAUAAAUAGAUUUGCACUCCUUUGGUCGUCUAUUCUACGGCACUUUUUUAAAUGGAUCCCUUAGUGCAUCAGUUCUGUUGCUGCUCCCUCUUGACUGUCAUAAUCAUUGAAAACUGAAAUACUCCCGGGAGAACCAUGCACUGUGAAUCUCUGAUAAGGGACACUGAGCCAAACAGGUAGAGAUGGGGCACUACUAAUGACUGUGCUUUCUGGAUCUCGCCUGUAUACUGCAGACCAUAUAAUGUGUAUAUAUACACUGUAUUUGCACUUUCCUCCACUCUUCCUAGAGCUGAUUUGCUAACAAAGUACUAUAAGAAAAUGUGACUCCAUGGGAGAGUGGGAAUCCAGCACCUUUUCCUUUAUGGCAAAUAAUGUGCAAAUCAUAGCUAAUAACACUGGCCCAGCUCAGAGCCAAUGACAUGAGGUAUCCUACAGCAGCUACUACUGUGCCACACUGCUUAGAACUGUGUUAAGUCCUGUUCCAUGGUACUUUGUAUCUCUUCUGAUCCUUCACGCCUCUGACUUUUUCUCAUUUACUAUGCUAACAUGCCCUAUUGUCCUCACUUCUUUACACUAUAUAUUACAAAACUCUUGUCUUGACUAGUGAUGCCCAGGUAUCUACAUUCCAUACAGAACCACUGUCAUGUGAUACUGCUGUUCCAUUGUCAGUGCAUUCCAUACCAGCCACGGCCACCUUUUGAUACAUCCUGCAGCAUAUUUUAUAUACUUAUUACAUAGCCUUUGUUGCCCGAUUGGCCACCCUUCUCUACAUUUUAUUGUAAUACAAUGCCUGCUGCCCUAUUGUGCACAUAGCUGUACAUUCCAUACCAUCUGCACACAUGAAGUGCUGCUGUUUUGUACACACUUUAGUACAUUCCAUGUCAUCUGACUGCCCAUGGUGCUAAAGUUCAGUGCCAUGCUCUCUGAUGGCUCCACUAGAUGCAGGCAUGCAGACAAGCUUUCCCCCAUCAUGGCUGCUGGAUCAGCUCACAGCAUGUCUUCCCUAGGAUGAGGGUUUUGCAGACAGUGAUAAUUCUCACUGGAAACUGUUGACAGAGCUUUUUCAUCCAUUACUGAAUGAAGGAUGGAGAACAUAGUGGGUGACUUGUCAUGGGGGGGGGGGAAGUUGCUUGGGGAAUAACAUUUAAGUUAGCAGUGAUGGCUUUAGUACAAACAGAAACUGUCUUCGACAUCUGGCAAAUGUCAUUGGUCUUUAUUGGCCAUUUCAUCUGCCCAGGUCAGAUAAAGCACCAUCAUUCACACAAGAUCCCAACUGGGGGGGGAGGGAGAGGAGAGAGAGGACUUCCUAGGUCUGUCAGGCAUCUCAGAUGCAGGACAGUUGAAUCCCUACAUUAAGACUGGAACAUGGUGAUCUUGAGGCAGGUGUCAUAACAUGGGUUGUGAGUCAGGAAAAUACUGAAGCAUGUGCCUAAAUUUCCAUACAUAAGUUGUCCUACGUGCUAGUACCUUGCUGAAUCAAAGCCAUAAAGGUGCAAAUGUCUCAGUGCAGCAUCAGUGUAGCAUCUGGUGAUGGUUGUGUUCCUCAGUAUGAAUACCAAUAAAUGGCAGCCCUCGAUCUCAUUGACAAUAUCUAUUGCCCAAAGGUCACUCAAAUUAAUAAAGCCAUAGUCUCUGAAUGUUAUCUUAGAGACCUGCCUCUUGGGCCUUGACUGUUGUAAUCUGGUGGUUAGGCCACCAAUGCAAAUGGACCCCAGGUUGAACAAUGGGGAAGCAAUAAAAACCUUUGGACUAGAGAUCCAGGAGCUCAGAGAUGUCAGGGACAGGUUAAAAUAUUCCCAUAAGACCAAGGUUCUACUUUUUGAAAAGACUGAAGCUAAGGAAAUCUUUCUCUCUGUGUCUCGUGUUCCCAAUUUCUUUUUAUGAAAGAAUCCCUGUUAAUGUGUGUAUAGCAGUCAUCCCACAGAGCCAGUCUGCCCUCCAGAAAUGGCUGGGAGCUGAUUCAAGCACCUACUUACAGUCAGGGGGUCUAACAGUUCCUGUGGAAAGGGUAAAAAAGGACCCACCAUAGACACUGACCUCUCCUCCCAUUCAGGCAGCCCCCAAACCCUGGAUAGAUGUACAUUGCCAGGAAGUGAUGGGGAUCUUGGACUAUGUUUAAAUUGUCCAGGGGUGGGGAUGGGGAGGAUGGAAUGUCUUCAGGAAUGUCACCAGCAUGAACUCUACAAUCACUUGUAUUUCACCAGCAGAAAAUUCAUCUUCAUAAGCUACAUUUAAAAAAAACAGGAAAUGAAUGAUUGAGUCUCGUGCCAAUGCUGUGUGGGAUGUGACAGGCAGCCUGACUGUCUGGAACAACUCAUAUCUUCAGUGUGUGGGGGUAUCCCUAUCUGUUUGUGCCUAAACUGACUCGUAAAUGAAUCUCCACUGAUCCUACUAUGAAACAGAGCUACAGAAUCAUACUGGAGAAGGGGCUAGACUCAGUAGUCUGUCAUUUCUCUCUCUGAACCCUCUGGAUCUCUUUCCUGUUCUGUGCCAUUCUCUGUGUAUAGUCUAUUCCCACAUCCCCCAGGCCCUGGAUUAACUGGAUGAAAUUGAACAGAAAGAAAAUGAA